rnacentral:rRNA from 1 species
CCUACGGGAGGCAGCAGUGAGGAAUAUUGGUCAAUGGACGAGAGUCUGAACCAGCCAAGUAGCGUGAAGGAUGACUGCCCUAUGGGUUGUAAACUUCUUUUAUAUGGGAAUAAAACGUUCCACGUGUGGGAUUUUGUAUGUACCAUAUGAAUAAGGAUCGGAGAACUCCGUGCCAGCAGCCGCGGUAAUACGGAGGAUCCGAGCGUUAUCCGGAUUUAUUGGGUUUAAAGGGAGCGUAGGUGGAUUGUUAAGUCAGUUGUGAAAGUUUGCGGCUCAACCGUAAAAUUGCAGUUGAAACUGGCAGUCUUGAGUACAGUAGAGGUGGGCGGAAUUCGUGGUGUAGCGGUGAAAUGCUUAGAUAUCACGAAGAACUCCGAUUGCGAAGGCAGUUCACUGGACUGCAACUGACACUGAGGCUCGAAAGUGUGGGUAUCAAACAGGAUUAGAUACCCCGGUAGUC